rnacentral:rRNA from 1 species
GUAGGUGGCAAGCGUUGUCCGGGAAUUAUUGGGGCGUAAAAGCGCGCGCAGGCGGUUCUUUAAGUCUGAUGUGAAAGCCCACGGGCUCAACCGUGGAGGGUCAUUGGAAACUGGAGAACUUGAGUACAGAAGAGGAAAGCGGAAUUCCACGUGUAGCGGUGAAAUGCGUAGAGAUGUGGAGGAACACCAGUGGCGAAGGCGGCUUUCUGGUCUGUAACUGACGCUGAGGCGCGAAAGCGUGGGGAGCAAACAGGAUUAGAUACCUGGUAGUGCACGCCGUAAACGAUGAGUGCUAAGUGUUAGGGGGUUUCCGCCCCUUAGUGCUGCAGCUAACGCAUUAAGCACUCCGCCUGGGGAGUACGGCCGCAAAGGCUG